rnacentral:rRNA from 1 species
CAAUCCGACAGUAUUUGUUGUGAAUUUGUUUGUUGCUUAGUAGAGUACUGAUAGUAGUUUAGUUUCCAAAAGAAAAUCAGAGUUUAACUGAUAUGCAAGAGGUGAGCUGUAUCAAAUUCAUCUCAUUUUAUCUCUUCAACCAAACACUGAACUAGAACCAUUCCAUUCCAUCAAACUGCACUCUACUAAACACAGGGAUGGAACCAACCCAUUACACUGGAAUGGAACCAUGACAUUUCAUUCCACUUCGUUCCUGAACCAAACACAC